rnacentral:misc_RNA from 1 species
UAAUACUCUCUAAUUAGUAUAUUUUAAAAAGUGAUUUCUCAACAACAAUUCCAACAAUAAUGAUAAAUAGGCCUACAAUCGACUCUUAAGUUAUUGAUGUUGUUUGUCAAAAAGAAAACUACUCCUCUGGAAAUCAAGUGCUCAAUGGCCACUAUGGUCCCAUGGAUGAUGUGUAUAUGACAUAAAGUAGCAUCCUCAUAUCAUUACUCUUCUUUGUCUUCACCAUGAAAAAAAUGAAUUACACACAUUUUCUUUAGCUGUUCUUAAAAUAUCAACGCAUGCUUUUUCUUGCAGUGAAGCAGAAAAUUCAAAAUAUAGCAAAAUUUAGUGGGUGUAAUGCUGUCUUAAGGCAUUUCACGUGCCAUAUAGUGUUCCAUUUUCCAUCUUUUUCAACAUAAAAUGUAUUUUUCACUAGGGCAGGGUUUCUUGAUGUUAUUAUAGCAAAACUUCAAAUACAUUAAUUUCAAGCC